CCUACGGGAGGCAGCAGUGAGGAAUAUUGGUCAAUGGGCGCGAGCCUGACCCAGCCAAGUAGCGUGAGGGAUGACUGCCCUACGGGUUGUAAACUUCUUUUAUAAGGGAAUAAAGUGAGGCACGUGUGCCUGUUUGUAUGUACUUUAUGUAUAAAGAUAGGCUAACUUCGUGCCAGCAGCCGCGGUGAUACAGUGGAUCGGAGCGUUAGGCGGAUUUAUUGGGUUUAAAGGGAGCGUAGAUGGGGUGUUAAGUCAGGUGUGAAAGUUUGCGGCUCAACCGUAAAAUGGCAAUUGAUACUGGUAGUCUUGAGUGAAGAUGAGGUAGGCGGAAUUCGUGGUGUAGCGGUGAAAUGCUUAGAGAUCACGAAGAACUCCGAUUGCGAAGGCAGCUUACUAAUCUGCAACUGACAUUGAUGCUCGAAAGUGUGGGGAUCAAACAGGAUUAGAUACCCUAGUAGUC
rnacentral:rRNA from 1 species